rnacentral:lncRNA from 1 species
CCAGCUUAACAGAAUCAUUGUUGUGUCUCCUGGUGGCAGCAUUCUCCUUCUGGAACUAAGAACUCUAGGCCAGCAGAAUGUAAUGUCAUGGAAACAGGAAGCAAAAAUUUUGCUAGUAGAUCACUGGGGAUGAUGGUGAGUGGUGUCACUUCCACUUCCAUCCCUUUAAUCCUGGAGCCGUGAGUCCUGGCUAUGGGAGAAACAGUGCCAUAUAUGGGAUGCUGAUUCAGAGCAUACACAGUCUUCUGGAGAACUUUACCCCAGGUCUGCAAAGUAUUGUUACCUAGUUGGCAUUGUAAUUGUGACUUCAAAAGGCCGUUCCAUCAUUUUAUCAAUUCAGCUGCUUCAGGAUGACAGAUAACAUGCAGACUACCUGGUCAUGUGGCCACGUUCUCAUGGUGAUGUCAGAGGGAAGAGUGCCAGCAGAAGUACUCUGCUUAGAUCACAUCUUCUAUCAUCCCCUUGUCCAAAGAUUUCUACAACAAUCCCUUUCUUGGCUUUCCUGCUUUCCUUGAUUUGGAAAGGACUCCAGCUUAUGAAAGAAAACGCAAAGAAAGAAGAGACCAUUCCACUGAUUUUGGGAACAAGACAAUAUAAUGAUCACAUCUAUGCUUUACAAAGAAAACUCUGCAUCUAUAUGAAGAAUAAAUGAUGGAGCUAGGCUGGAGAAGUACACUACUUGAAGUCAACAAGAAAGCAGCUGGUGAAAGAUGAUGAGACACUUAUUAGAGGAAGAAGCAGUGAGGAUGGAAGGGAGAGAAAUAUACACUAGAGGCACUGGAAAGUGCAUCACCCACCUUAUUGAGUCAUCAGAUAUGAUAUUCUGAAUUUCCUGGGUUAGGUAAAAAUUAAAAUGGAAAUUGUAAGAAAA